AAUUAAUGAGCUUGUUAUUAAGCAUAUGUUUUGAAAACAUAAGAAAGAAUUAAAUAUUCUAUUAAUUU
rnacentral:tRNA from 1 species